UGGCGAUGAUUACAUACUUAUCCGCGCUUCUGAGUUUUAUGUAUGAAGUAAUGGAUAUAAUGGUUGAAUUUCUUGAUAUGAGCCU